UACGUAGGGUGCGAGCGUUGUCCGGAAUUAUUGGGCGUAAAGAGCUCGUAGGCGGUGUGUCACGUCGGCCGUGAAAACCUGCAGCUUAACUGUGGGCGUGCGGUCGAUACGGGCAUCACUGGAGUUCGGCAGGGGAGACUGGAAUUCCUGGUGUAGCGGUGAAAUGCGCAGAUAUCAGGAGGAACACCGGUGGCGAAGGCGGGUCUCUGGGCCGAUACUGACGCUGAGGCGCGAAAGCGAGGGGAGCAAACAGG
rnacentral:rRNA from 1 species